UGUGGGAGCGAGCUUGCUCGCGAUAGCGGCGUGUCAGCCAAGAUUAUUUUGCUGAUCCACCGCCAUCGCGAGCAAGCUCGCUCCCACA
rnacentral:antisense_RNA from 1 species